ACGGGAGGCAGCAGUGGGGAAUAUUGGGCAAUGGGGGCAACCCUGACCCAGCAACGCCGCGUGAAGGAAGAAGGCUUUCGGGUUGUAAACUUCUUUUAUGAGGGACGAAGGACGUGACGGUACCUCAUGAAUAAGCCACGGCUAACUACGUGCCAGCAGCCGCGGUAAUACGUAGGUGGCAAGCGUUAUCCGGAUUUACUGGGUGUAAAGGGCGCGUAGGCGGGGAGACAAGUCAGGUGUGAAAUCUAUGGGCUUAACCCAUAAACUGCAUUUGAAACUGUAUCUCUUGAGUGCUGGAGAGGUAGAUGGAAUUCCUUGUGUAGCGGUGAAAUGCGUAGAUAUAAGGAAGAACACCAGUGGCGAAGGCGAUCUACUGGACAGUAACUGACGCUGAGGCGCGAAAGCGUGGGGAGCAAACAGGAUUAGAUACCCUGGUA
rnacentral:rRNA from 1 species